GAUGAACGCUGGCGGCGUGCCUAAUACAUGCAAGUCGAGCGAACGGACGAGAAGCUUGCUUCUCUGAUGUUAGCGGCGGACGGGUGAGUAACACGUGGAUAACCUACCUAUAAGACUGGGAUAACUUCGGGAAACCGGAGCUAAUACCGGAUAAUAUUUUGAACCGCAUGGUUCAAAAGUGAAAGACGGUCUUGCUGUCACUUAUAGAUGGAUCCGCGCUGCAUUAGCUAGUUGGUAAGGUAACGGCUUACCAAGGCAACGAUGCAUAGCCGACCUGAGAGGUGGAUGGGCAAAACGGGAGGUGAGCCGCGACCAGGGGACGAAGGGGAGGAACAGACGGGGACGUGACGCAAAGGGGGGAAAGAUUAACGAAGAAACGCGAGGGGGAGGAAGAAGGUCUUGGGAUGGUAAACUCCUCUAGUAGGGAAAAACCAAAUGUGCAGGAAACAGGGACGAACUGACGGUAACUGAAAAAGAAGCCCCGGCUAACUACGUG
rnacentral:rRNA from 1 species